GAUGAACGCUAGCGAUAGGCUUAACACAUGCAAGUCGAGGGGCAGCAUGGUCUUAGCUUGCUAAGACUGAUGGCGACCGGCGCACGGGUGCGUAACGCGUAUGCAACUUGCCUCACAGAGGGGGAUAACCCGUCGAAAGACGGACUAAUACCGCGUACACUUGGGAUAGGGCAUCCUGACCCAAGGAAAUGAAAUUCGCUGUGAGAUAGGCAUGCGUCCCAUUAGCUAGUUGGUGAGGUAACGGCUCACCAAGGCGACGAUGGGUAGGGGAACUGAGAGGUUGAACCCCCACACUGGUACUGAGACACGGACCAGACUCCUACGGGAGGCAGCAGUGAGGAAUAUUGGUCAAGGGGCGAGAGCCUGAACCAGCCAAGUCGCGUGAAGGAUGACUGUCUUAUGGAUUGUAAACUUCUUUUAUACGGGAAUAACAAGAGCCACGUGUGGCUCCCUGCAUGUACCGUAUGAAUAAGCAUCGGCUAACUCCGUG
rnacentral:rRNA from 1 species